rnacentral:rRNA from 1 species
GGCAGCAGUGGGGAAUAUUGCACAAUGGAGGAAACUCUGAUGCAGCGACGCCGCGUGAGUGAAGAAGUAAUUCGUUAUGUAAAGCUCUAUCAGCAGGGAAGAUAGUGACGGUACNUACUAA